AUAAAGAGCCUCUUGAUUGUUUUCAUUCAUGAACGAUUGGUGGAAAGGUAAGCUUUUCUAUGCCAUAAUUCCACAUCUACAGACUGGAGUAGUUCAGUUGUUCCUACAGUACCUUCCGUAUAGUUUACCCUAAUAAUCAUUGCAUGCCCCUGACCGUAAGUACACACUCACUGUAAGACAUCAUGCUGCAAAUCACUUUUUGCCACAUGGCACAAUCUCAGUUUGGGAGCAGCACAACUCCUAGAGUAUUUAGUGAUUUACCAUUUAGUACCUCCAAUAAUAAACCUAAUGGCUAUUUGUGGACUGGAGGUCGAAGAAAUAGAAUAGAAAAGGGCUGGAGACGAGAGGAUAGCCCCUACCUUGCAUGAGGUUUUAUUUGGGGGGAACUCAAAAAAGGAAUUGGGAGAAGAAUUAAAAUAUUCCAGCAUCCUUUAGUUUUUAUAAUAACACUCUUGAAACAAAGAAAGAGAUUCUCCCAUCCGAAAACACUCUCCCGAACAAGGUAAGAAAUUCUCCUCCUCUCCCCUACCCCAAAGUCCUCCAUACCCAUUCUAUCUCCCAACAAGACCUAAAGAAACUUUAGAUUCCACUUAUUCAUGUGGAACAUCACAAAUUUUUGCGAUUCAUCUAUGUUGUAGUCUAAGAAUGUUUUCGGAACCCAGAAAUCCUAAUGAAUAAAAAGAAUACUUUUAUUAAAAUAAUAUGAAAAAAUAGGAGAAUAGAACCACUAUUCUCUAUUCACAAAAAAUUAACAAAUCUGAAUGGUCCUUAUCCUUGUAUUCUCCUAUUUAUAAAUGAUACUUUCUAGCUAAUCAAUUAACUAACUACUCUAAUGGUUUAUUCAAGUUGGGCUAGAAUGUCUGUAAAAUAAACACAGAUAUAGUUGGUUUCCAUUUUUGAACUUCGUAUGCAGACCAAGGGUGUUACUUUUUCAAAUGUGUCUAUUUAGUAAAUGAGCCUAUUUUUGGAAUUGAUCUGUUGAUUGUUUCUGUUUUUGCUGCUGAUUUUUUUGUUCUUUAUUGGUGUACUUAAGUUACUGUAUAAUGUAUUACAGUCAUGGGAGGGAGAGGUUUGAAAAUAUAUUGUUCGGUAUUCCAGUUGUCGCUAGGCUGUCCGGCAUUACUUCCGGAUAUGAUGUUCGUAAGGAGUUUCUGAAUUUAAUCAAUCCAUUUAUGAUGCAAAACACUGAGGAAACAAUAGAUGAAUAUGAUAAGAAUGAUGAUGAUACUAAAACACUAAAUGAAGUUGGUGAAUUUGGUGAAACUAAUAACUCUGAAGAAAUAGAAAGUGGUGGAGUCUUGAACAGCGGAGCAGAAGAUGACAUACAUUUGUGGACUGACUUUGAAUUCUAUUUAUUAUCAUCUGGGUGUGUAAAUGAGGUAUAUAAGAUAACAUCGAAUGAACCAUUACCUGUCACAAUGUUGUCCAGUAAGCUGGAGGUAGCUGUUGUAUGGUCUGAUAAAAUGCUUAAAAAGUAUGACACGAACCCGCUUGAUUCAUUGCCGGAAGUUUUCAAGUCCCAAUUUUUCUCCAAGAAAGAGUCAAUAUCUAUAUACAAGUGCCUUGAAGCGUUUUUGAGAGAGGAACCUCUUGGACCAGAAGACAUGUGGUAAGUAGAUAUAUGAUAAUAUCUUUUUUUUUAAUCUUAAUUUUUAAUCUUUGAAUGCUUUCAUGUUUUGAGAACAUUUUAUCUUCUAUAUAAUUUAUCAUAUGUUCUAUAUAUUUAUCGUGAACAACCUAGUGGAGAAAGGCUCUGAUUGUUGUGGUUUUAUAUGUUAUUCAAGAGUGCUGUCUCUGAAGUUCUUAAAAGUAUAUAUUAGUCUUUCUGAUGUUUGAUAUUGCAAUUUGAUGUUCAUAAGGUACUGUCCUACCUGCAAAAAACCUCAGGAAGCAACUAAAAAGUUGGACCUUUGGAGAUUGCCUGAAAUUCUUGUUGUUCAUUUGAAGAGGUUCUCAUACAACUGUUUCUUAAAGAACAAGUUGGAAACUUUUGUUGACUUUCCGAUUAAUGAUCUGGAUUUGUCAACCUAUGUCGCUCACAGGAGCUAUCCAUCUCCCUAUAGCUAUAUGUUGUAUGCAAUUAUUUGUCACUAUGGCGGGUUAGGAGGGGGCCAUUAUACAGCGUUUGUUCGUGUAAGUACCUCACAACUGUCUCUUACUUUAUUGACACAUUGGGACUAAUUAUUCUCUCUUCAUUUUUUGCUUAGUCACUUUAUUGUUUAGCCGGUAAGUGUUCCAUUAGCUUAUUUCAUAUAUUUACUUAUUAGUAAUUUCUUUGGGGGAAGCAAGAUUUUUGGCACUGACCACAUGAGAUGUAGAGACGGCUACCUACUUUUAUUUAGAAGUCUGUUUCAGAGGAUGUUAAAAGACUUGGAGCACGCUAGAUUUCCAAAAUAAUUUUAUAAUUUUUUUAUCACUUAUUAUACUAUUGAUGAUUGGAAGUGUUGUUUGACUUCCCUAAUCACAGUAGUUAAUUUUUUUAAAAGAAAAUCUAAAGUACAUCUUGUCUUUUGCACUAAUUGAUUCAUCAAUAUGUUUCAGUGAUUAAUAUUUAAUUUAUUCUAUGCAUAAUUUUGCGCUCUGUUUUUGUUAUAAGCAUGCAUAGUUUCAUUCUAUGCUUAUCCAACUAACUGUGUUUAUUUUCUUGCAGUAUGGCCAUGAUAAAUGGUACGAGUUUGAUGAUAGCAGGGUUGCCCCUGCUGACGAGGAGACGAUCAAGACUCCUGCUGCUUAUGUUCUUUUCUACAAGAAAAUUUAGAUGAAGACGAGAAUCUUAGAUUCAGUUGUGUAAUUAGUCAUACCAACAUGGAAAGCUCGAGGUUUUUAGAUCAUGUGUUUAUACAGUUGCGCCCGACUUCCUCAAAUUGUUAUUUAAGCGCAUCUGGUUUGAUUUUAUCAAAGAUUAGCGAAGAAACAAAAUAGAAGGAUUCAAUAUUGUACAGCUUUUAGAAGCUAAAGGAUAAGAGGGUAGAUCUUAAAUUUUUUGAAGUCGGAGGACAGAUAUAUACACCUGUUGGACGACAUGUAUAUACACAUCCUGAAAUUAUUUAACCUAUUUUUUGGAUUAGAUAUGGCUUGGUUUUUUCAAGCCAUGGUUAUAUAUGGAAAGUUGCGCAUUUUUGCCUUUGUUUCAUGUCAUCCUACUUGGUGAUCUUAGGCCAAUUUUUUUCAGGCUUUGAGUUGUGUGUAUAACUCGAUCAGUUCGGUUAUAAGAAAUGUGUAUACCUUUUCAGUUUCAUAUUUGUACCAGAAUGUUAAACAUUCGCAUCAAUAUCUAAUCUAAUCGAAUAUUAAGCUUCAAUAUUCCCAUCGCAGUAGGUACUGCAGAUCUUUCAAAAUAGCAAAGCAACUGAUAAUUGUUGCACUUGAUCGGUCGGUUAAUGGAGCAAACAACUCUUGUAUUUUUCGUUAAAGAUUUUCAGAUGGCUGAGAAUGUAUAUACGUUGUUAAAGUAGUAGUAGUAGUAAUAAUGCCUAAGCCAACUAAGACCACCUAUUACCACAGCCAGUGGAGAUAACUGGGAUCAAAAUUUUGUCAUGCUCCUCAAACUGCAGACAUCCUUUUACUUGUUUUGGAUCAGAAAGUUGCACCGUCCUUUACUUUGUUCUUGUCUAGUAAAUAAUACUAGUAAGUGUCUAAAUAUUUUUAUCAAAUUUUGACAAUAUAAGAAAAUGAUAUGACAUUAUUUUCAAUUAAUACAACAAUAAUACUGACGGCCGGUGUAUAUAUAAAUGGCUUGGCCACGUUUGCCAGAACGUGAAGCGUUGAGUUAUUAUCUUCUACAUCUUCUCUCGGAAGUUUAUUCCAUUCUUUAAUAGUACUAGUAUCAUGUCUUGAUCAUCCUAAUCGUAAAUGAGUCAUUAUAAAUUAGAAAAAUAUUUUCAACUUGUUUAUGGCCCUUAAGAAACCAAGCACAACGAGAACGUGUAUAUUAUUUUAAUAUUAUAUAAUGGAAAACACAAAUAUACCCUUCUUAACAUAAAGGCAACAAAUCUCUGCCUUCACUCGUCAACACCUAACAGUAUAAAAGAUCAUUCCUCCCAAAACCCCUUAUUCCCUUCAAUUUCAACCAUUUUCUUCUUUCUCUUCCAAAAUUUGACCUAGCCGCAACUACCGAACGCCUCGGCAAAACAGCGUUCACAACUCCGCUGCACUCACAGUCGCGCCACCGCGACUCUCGCUCUCCUGUUCCAGGUAAUUCGCCAUCAUCAUUUUCUUCUAUUGAGGGCACAAAGUAGAACGAUGAAGAGUGUGUGGUUUUGUACUCCAAAAACUCAAUUUUAGAAAUCAAGUAGCUAAAUUUUUUAUUUAGUCAAAAUAAAAGAAUUAAAAGUGCAUUUAAACUUUAUUAUAACUGUUAGUAAUUGAGGUUGUUUUCUGCACUCACAGAAUUUUGAUAUAUGCUAUUCAAUUCUGUGUUUGUUUAAUUGCAGCACAAAAUGGAAGGUGGAGAUAAACUGAUUCUAAAGGGAUUGAGUUUCUAUGGUUUUCAUGGAGCAUUGAAGGAAGAAAACACGCUGGGGCAGAAGUUUUUUGUUGAUAUAGAUGCUUGGAUGGAUCUCAAACCAGCAGGAAAAUCUGAUAACUUGUCUGAUUCUUCUGAUUAUGUUGAAAUAUAUCGGUCAGUUGCCAUUUUGAGUGUUUGAUGUGAAACAUGUGGCAAAGCUUUGCUCUACUAUUUUGAAGUGAACUUCUGAAUAAUUUGUGCUUAAUUUGGUUUUGAUUUUAUAUACUGUCAUAAGCACUUAUGAAAGAAACUAUUUAGGAGAGCUAAUAGAAUAGGCUAUGACACAUAUAUAAGUUGUUUCAAGUUUGUUUCUAUAAACUCUUGAGGAUUACUUAUGAAAACAACUUAUAGCUUUUUCAAAAGAGUUUGACUUUGUUUUAUCUUUUGUUCAUAUGCAUAAGCACUUAUAUGAUCAGCGUUUAAUUUAGUUGUUUGUUCGAAUAUAACCGUUGUUCCCAAAAUAAGAGUAAUUAUUUAGGGUCAAACAUCAGUUUGUAAAGCUUUGCAAUGUUAAACUAAACAUACACUCUUGGUUUGAUGCAGUAUAGCUAAGGAUGUUAUUGAAGGACCAGCUCAAAAUCUUCUGGAGUCAGUGGCCCAGAAAAUUGCAAUCUCCACUUUGAAACUUCACAAAGAGAUAUCUGCUGUUCGUGUGAAGGUUGGAAAGCCUCAUGUGGCAAUUCCGGGUCCGCUUGAUUACUUGGGUGUUGAGAUUUUGAGACGCAGAAGCGAUUUGACAGAUUAGAACUUUCAUAUUUAAUGAUGUGUUUUUUUUAUGUUCUUCAAUUCUAUUUGAUACAAUAAUAUUACUCUUCCUGAGCAUACCGUCAGAUCAAAAAAAUGCAGUGAGAUACUGUUAUUUUUUAACUGAAGAGUAUAUCCGAGUAAAGUUUAUAUGUAAUCCUGUUAAUUUAUAAAUUAUUCUGUAAUUCUUUCCUCUUUCAGUGCCAUAUAGUCGAGUCUGUAAUGAAAGGCGCUUUCCUUCACCGAUAAUGUUUGUUCAGUACACUCACAACUACCAUAUUGGAGUAGACAGAUGUUGUUAAGGAAAUACUGCCUACCAUGUGAAAGGGUUGUGAACCCGAAGCAGAAUAUUAAUGGACAAUUUUCACCUAUUCCAACCCCCCCACCCCAUCUCACCCCUCUGAUCCCCCCUGUAUCCUUACUCAUUCCCAUAUUUUCUGUUAUGUUUCUUCUCUCUCAUGUUGCGCCUCAGUUCCACAUUUUGUGGAUCAUCCUUCCUUUCAUCAUUUGCUUUAUCUUCCAUUGGAUUCUCUGCCUUGUUGUCAUCAUUAGCUCCAUUAGUGCUAACCUUUUUCCUAACAAUACUGCCCCCAUUGAAAAUAACCUUUUCCUCAAGGUUAAGGGAAAGAAAUUUGAGUUGUAAGGGUCCCAAUCCUCCCAUGUUGCUCCUGAAACAGCUAAGUUGGCCCAUUGAACCAAAACUUGUUUGACUAAUUGGGGAUUACGUAGCAGGACACGAGUCUUAAGUGAUAUUCUAAGGUUGAAGUAUUGGACCUUUUUCUGUGGUCAGCAAUGGCAAUGACAUGUUGUGUGAGUUGGUCUCCCUUGCAGGGCUUGAGGAGCGACACGUGAAAAACAUGAUGAAUAUAGUGUUGUUGAUAUGGGUGGGGCAUAACCAACACCCCGUCUCCUACCUCAACUUCGACUUGGCCUAUGUUUUUUGUCCGCAUAUUUCUUCAUAUUGGCCUUAGCCUUGGCCAAACUAUGCUUGUGUUGAGCCACAACAACAUCCCUUGUCCUCAAUCAUUCCUGCAUAAUUCCUGCAGAGACGACAGAUCAGUAGGGCUAGCCACUUGAUUAAUGUUGGUGCAUCUCUUCCAUAUACCGCUUUGAAAGAGGUCAUUCCAAUGCUAUUGUGGAAAGAAGAAUUGUACCAAAAUUCCUCCUAAGAGAGCAUUUUGGACCACUGUCGAGGUUGAUCAACUUUAAAACACCUCAAAAACUGCUCCCAACAUUUAUUUAAGACUUUUGGUUGACCAUCCGACGGUGGACGGCCAAAGCGGUGCCCCUCAGCUUAAACAACUCUUUACAAAAAGAGCUGGUUAAUUUGAGGAUCAGUUGAGUAGACGGGCGAGUUUGAUGCUAUAGAGGAUGUGGUGAGAUUUGCAUUUUGCAGAAGUGAUUGUGUUUUUGCAAAACCGAUCCAAACGUGACUCGUGACACAAAAGAAGGGUUUCGACUUCUUCGAAGGAGACGGAGCCAAAUUUAACAGUGAUGAAGCUGAUAGUGGAUUCGUAAGCUUGAGGCAAACCUUCGAGAAUCACAUCUAGGGGUUCGCGUUGAGAGAUAGGUUCACCAAUCACAUUGAUUGCACCAAUCAAUGAUUGAACUCGUAGCAAAAACUCCGAAACUGAAUUCUUGCAAUUCUCCAGUUGUGUGACGGAGCAUAGAUAAAAAGUUGAGAGAGUUUCGCUGCAGAGUGCUGCUGAAAGUAGGUAUGGAUUUUAUCCCACAACAUCCGUGAAUUAUGUGCAGCCAAUGACACGUUGAAGCAUGUCUCAAAAACUGGUAGAUUACAACCAUGCAAGUAGAAGUUGAUCUUGUUGUUCCCAAGCUUCAAAUUCUGGUGAGAUGUGAUUGCUGUUCGCGUUUUCAAUUGAAGUGAGUUUCACUUGAAUAUGAGAAUUUAGAAGAAAUUGAUGAAGUUUGUGAGAUUUUCUCACAGGCUCCACCUGUUGACACCAUAACAGGUAGUUUUUUGAAUCAAGCUUCUCAGAAAUUGCAGAAAUGGAAUAAUUCUGAUCUAGGUUUGUAGAGAUUGAAAAGAAAACAAGAAGGGCGGUAGUUGAUUCAUCUUACUCUUCUUGAAGGUAUAACAUGAUUUUAAUAAUGCAGUGAAGGAUUUUGGAAGACUCUUCUAUGCAUAGGAUUGUUUGCCAGAUCUGUUCCCCCUCCAACUUAGGAUAUUUGUUUAAUGGGAAACCAGUUCACUGGUAGCAAAGAUAAGCCAAAAGGUUCAGUUAGUGAUUUGUUUGUUUUCUUUUUUGGAAAGUGUUUGACCAUUGUUAAGAAAUUUUCUUGCUAAGUGGCAUGAUUACAGGAAAAUGUGCUGACUUCUACAAGAAAGCUUGUGACGUUUUCAAUUCUGCAUAUAACUCAGUGAGUUAACUAACGAUUAAUUUAUUAAAUGACUAUAAGUUUGUCCAUGUUCCUUUGGUUAUGUCUGAUUAUAUUGUUAUGGGCGAUGCAGUUGUAUAUUUGGGACUUCUCUGGCCAGACAACCCAGCUUUUAAUAAAUGACAAAGCUAGGGUGUCAAACGAUUCUCCUGUCAACCUGGAAAAGAGGUAGUCCUUGUUUCAACUUUUUCUUCUUUGUUUUAUUUUUAUAUAACAGUUAAAGAUAUUUGAAGUUUAGGGUGCUCUACAAACCUUAUAAAUUUUAAAUUUUAGAACUAUAUUUCUAAGAUAUAUUUCAUGUUAUUGUCAUUUCUAUGAAUGAUUUUUGCUUUAUAUUAAUUUUUUCUCCCUCGUGCAAUUUUUCUUAGGGAGAAUUUGCUUAACUUUUGGAGAUUUAUUAGAAUGCUAUUUACAAAAUGUUAACAAAUCUGAAUGCUCCUUAUCCUUGUAUUUCUCCUAUUUAUAUAUGAUGUGUUAUAACUAAUCAUUUAACUAAAUAACUAAUCAUUUUUGAACUUUGUUUGGAACCUUCACUUCCGGUUGGGUGUCUUGGAUGCAAAAAUACACCUUUUCCCUAGAAAUCCACCCAGCUGGAUCUUCACCCUCAAACAUCGGCAACUCCACUUUCUUCACAGACCGACGAAAUCCAGCUAACGCAUCAUCAUAUAGUUGGUGAAUCUCUGUCUUCAACGUCACUCCCAACGUCUCCUCCUCCUCUUCUUCUGUGCCCUUAUCCUUCAUGGGUUUGUCUUCCUUAUUCACACUUGCUUCUCCUGGUUGUAAUGAUUUGCCUAAACACUUCCCAGCGUCACAAUCAAGCUCACGUGAUUCUCCUUGACCACGUUUUCCACUGCAGCAUGUGCACUUCUAACUUCGGAGAUCUCACUCUCCAGACCUUUUACCUUCGAUUCCAUUUUCUUGAGAAUAGCUUGUUGUGUUCGUUUCUGUGGCAUUCACCAGCUCCCGUCGUCGGAAUCCGGUAGGUCAGACCAGUUUGUUAGGAACUCAAUGAAUAAUAAAGUCAAACAACAGUAACAGAGUGAUAAUGAAGGAAAAGACUGUAUUAUUGAACAAUAAUGAGGAGAUUUAAAGAGUAGCCUACACCUAAACUGCCACAAAGGGUAGUGCUUCUAUGAGAAGCUAAGAAGCUAGUCCUAUCCAUAACAAUCACAACUAAAUUCUUAGAUGCCUCUCUCCCUGAUACUCAAACCCCAUAUAUUGUGGUAAAACGGUUACAGUCAUUCCCAAGGCAUGCCACAUACUGACAGCUCACAGCUUUCUAGUAAAAGCCCCUUUCCCCUUCUAGAAUAAACCAACCACUGCUUGGCCCCCUUAAUACUAUCAUGGGCCCGCAGAUCAUUCCUAUGAAACUUCAGGUAGACCAAGGGUGUUACUUUUCAAAUGUGUGUAUUUAGUAAAUGAGCCUAUUUUUGGAAUUGAUCUGUUGUUGGUUGUUACUGUAUUUGCUGUAGAUCUUUUUGUUCUUUAUUGGUGCACUAAAUUUAUUGUAUCAUGUAUUACAAUUACGGGAAGGAGGGUUUGGAAAAUAGAUUGUUCGGUAUUCCAGUUGUAGCAGGGUUGUCCGGCAUUACUUCUGGAUAUGAUGUUCUUAAGGAGUUUCUAAAUUUAACCAAUCCAUUUCUGAUGCAAAACACUGAGGAAACAAUAGAUGAAUAUGAUAAGAAUGAUGAUGAUGCUAAAGCACUAAAUGAAGUUGAUGAAUUCGGCAAAACUAAUAACUCUGAAGCAAUAGAAAGUGAUGCAGUCUUGAACAGCGGAGCAGAGGAUGUGAUAUUAGUAUCUGGGAGAGGAAAUGAGGUUUAUAAGAUAACAUAGAAUGAACCAUUACCUGUCACAAUGUUGUCCAGUAAGCUGUGGAGGUAGCUGCUGUAUGGUCAGAUAAAAUGCUUAAAAAGUAUGACAAGAACCUGCUUGAUUCAUUGCCUGAGGUUUUCAAGCCCCAAGUUUUCUCCAAGAGAACACAAGAGUCAAUAUAUACAAGUGCCUUGAAGCUUUUUUGAGAGGAACCUCUUGGACCAGAAGACACGUGGUCCAAGAGGAACCUCUUCGAUCUUCCUUGAGCCAUGUAAGCGUGUUGGGAUGGAAGACACUGUAUGGUACCUUUAAAAGUACCCAAAGCGGACGAUCGAUGCCUCUUGGAUCCAUAAGAUGAGUGAAAGAGUAUAGAGACACAAUCAAAAUGGGGUUGAGCGACCGGAGGCACCCAAACAUGUUGAAUUCCCACAAACUCAUCUGGCACCAGAACACCUGGAGUGGUACCAAACUUCAGAUACCACAGCUACCCUGAUGAAGAAUCCUAUCAAAGCAUAAUGGAAAUGCGCCAAUUCCGCUUCAGGUAAGAUUUUUGUACCAUCUUCUACUUUUCUAUAGACUGGAUCUCAUUUAUGAGAUAGAUGCUUGGGCUGAGAGGUAUUGUAACUGCGCUGCUGCAGAGCCCCUAGCCUCUAUUAAACUUAUGACUAUCCCAGGGUUGAUCAUAUGAUUGAGAUAGGUAGAUUCAUUGCAUGCUGCAGAGCCCCUAUUAAACUUAUAACUAUCCAAGGGUUGAUCAUGUGAUUGAGAUAGGUAGGUUCAUUGCACCCGUGCCAUCCACCUCCUUAACCCUCUUGUGCACCAAAGCAAUGAAGACAAUGCCAUGUAAGAUUUGUGUCCAACCUUCAACCUUUUCGGACGGCAUCUCACUCAUGAAAUAGAUUUUGGACAGCCUUCCUGAGGUAAUGUAACCACAUUGCUGCAGAACCUCUCUGGGGUGAUCAUCAGAUUGAGAUAGGUAGGUUCAUUGCAGCCCAAUACCAGCCACCUCCCCAACCCUAUCGUGCACCAAAUCAGAGCAAUGAAGAUGACUGCAUCUUGGACUACCUUAGUUUCAUGGAUCAGGAUGACCUUGGUACAUAUGUUUUUUCUUUCUUUGUUUUGUUUAAUGUUAUUUUUGUUUUAGUGUAUUUUCAUUUUGUAAUAUCAGUAAUUAAACCACAUUUUGUAAUGAAAAUAUUAAUGAUAAUGCAUUUUGUUUAAGUUUGUAUUGUUAUAUGAUAAUUCUUAGUAUAAUUUGUGAGUGUCUAAAAAUCAACCAAGUAGCUGUUUUAUGUCCAUAUUCAUGAUAACCUUAAAUUGGUUUUUCAUAUUUUUGAAAAAUCUAAUGUUGUAUAUUUAAUUAUAUUGACAGUUGAGCAGGUUCAUCGUCAUUGAUUGUGAAGCCACAUCAAACUUGUUAUACUGUUGGUUGUUUUUCUCAGACCCAACAUAGUGAGAGACUGAUAAAGACCAACACUAUAAUUUGAGAGCAGUUUGAUAUGUAUUACUUAUUUAGAAUUUGUGCACAUUCUUAAUUGAUUUUAUUUGUGAUGUUUACACAUACUGAUGUAAAUUGUUUUUUAUUGAACAUGUUUCCUUUUUGUUUGUUUUUAAUUCUAAUUUUUAUAUAUCUUUGGCCUAAAUACAGUCUAAGAGAUAUAUUCCAAUGUAAGUUUGAGGUAUCAAUUUAGAAAUUGAGGAAGUUAAGUUAAUAUGAGUUCAAGCUGAAAAGUGAGUGGAAAAAUCAACUUGGCCUAAAUACACUCCUACUUUACUUAGUCAGAAAGAUCAAGUCUGAGUGAUAUAUUUGGAAAAAAUAUAAAGAAAACCAGGUGAAUCGUGACUUGGAAAAAAUAUAAAGAAAAUUAUUUAUAGGAAUAUUUUUUAGAAUUAUGAUUAGUUAAACUUUUUAGUGCUAAGGAUAAGUAAUUCUCAUUGAUGAACUUUGUAAUCUGGAUUGACUCUAGAGAUAAUUAAGUAUUUUAUUCUUGUUUGAU
rnacentral:lncRNA from 1 species